UAACGCUUGGACACUCAGCCAUCUUACCC
rnacentral:tRNA from 2 species